rnacentral:rRNA from 1 species
CAUGCAGUCGAACGAGCGAGAGAGAGCUUGCUUUCUCGAGCGAGUGGCGAACGGGUGAGUAACGCGUGAGGAAUCUGCCUCAAAGAGGGGGACAACAGUUGGAAACGACUGCUAAUACCGCAUAAGCCCACGGUGCCGCAUGGCACAGAGGGAAAAGGAGUAAUCCGCUUUGAGAUGGCCUCGCGUCCGAUUAGCUAGUUGGUGAGGUAACGGCCCACCAAGGCGACGAUCGGUAGCCGGACUGAGAGGUUGAACGGCCACAUUGGGACUGAGACACGGCCCAGACUCCUACGGGAGGCAGCAGUGGGGAAUAUUGCACAAUGGGGGAAACCCUGAUGCAGCGACGCCGCGUGGAGGAAGAAGGUCUUCGGAUUGUAAACUCCUGUUGUUGGGGAAGAUAAUGACGGUACCCAACAAGGAAGUGACGGCUAACUACGUGCCAGCAGCCGCGGUAAAACGUAGGUCACAAGCGUUGUCCGGAAUUACUGGGUGUAAAGGGAGCGCAGGCGGGAAGACAAGUUGGAAGUGAAAUCUAUGGGCUCAACCCAUAAACUGCUUUCAAAACUGUUUUUCUUGAGUAGUGCAGAGGUAGGCGGAAUUCCCGGUGUAGCGGUGGAAAUGCGUAGAUAUCGGGAGGAACACCAGUGGCGAAGGCGGCCUACUGGGCACCAACUGACGCUGA